GCCAGACUCCUACGGGAGGCAGCAGUGAGGAAUAUUGGUCAAUGGGCGCGAGCCUGAACCAGCCAAGUCGCGUGAGGGAGGACGGCCCUACGGGUUGUAAACCUCUUUUGCCGGGGAGCAACGGGCGUCACGUGUGGCGUCACUGAGAGUACCCGGAGAAAAAGCAUCGGCUAACUCCGUGCCAGCAGCCGCGGUAAUACGUAGGAUCCGAGCAUUAUCCGGAGUGACUGGGUGUAAAGAGUUGCGUAGGUGGCAUAGUAAGUAGCUAGUGAAAUCUGGUGGCUCAACCAUUCAGACUAUUAGCUAAACUGCUAAGCUCGAGACCGUUAGGGGUAACUGGAAUUUCUAGUGUAGGAGUGAAAUCCGUAGAUAUUAGAAGGAACACCGAUAGCGUAGGCAGGUUACUGGGACGGUUCUGACACUAAGGCACGAAAGCGUAGGGAGCAAACGGGAUUAGAUACCCCGGUA
rnacentral:rRNA from 1 species